UGUGUGUGUGUGUAUGUAUGUGUGUGUAUGUGUACACACACACACACACACACACACACACACACA
rnacentral:miRNA from 1 species